rnacentral:misc_RNA from 1 species
UCCCCGUUACCGGGGCAGUCUAGCUAGAGAAAUCCAACUAACUAUAAGGGUUGCGCUCGUUACUGGACUUAACCAUACAUCUCACGACACGAGCUGACGACGGCCAUGCAUCACCUGUCACUGCGUUCCAAAAGGCACAGUCUCCUUUCAGAGACCUUCGCAGGAUGUCAAGCCUUGGUAAGGUUCUUCGCUUACUGUCGAAUUAAACAACACGCUCCACCGCUUGUGCGGGUCCCCGUCAAUUCCUUUAUGUUUUAAGCUUGCGCUCGUACUCCACAGGCGGGAUGCUUAACGCGUUAGCUUCGCUACUAACAGGGUCGAUACUGAUAACAGCUAGCAUCCAUCGUUUACGGCGUGGACUAC